ACUUUUGUCCUCUUUAUAUUUAGUCAUUGCUCAGAACAGACUCAGAAUUUCAGGUGCGAUCAGAUACAAAUAAACUAGAUGAUUGUGAUCUGAGAUUGUGAUUAGAAAGUGUUUAUGAAUUUUCAUAUUUCAUAUUCAUAUUUGUAUAAUCCAUAGAAUAAAAAUAUAAUAUUCCCGGCAAAAAAAAUUAUAGGUUAGAAAGUGUGUUUAUUUUUUUAUGUUUAUUGGUAUUUAUCUUUGAAGAGGAGGAAGAUAACAUACACUUUCGUCAAAUAAUACAACUGAAGAUAUGGACCUAAAGAAGUUAGCAGACGAAAUCGAUGAUAUUACUGAUCCUACAGCUAUUGAAAAGGUGUUGUUCCAUAUUUAUCAAAUUCAAGAAGAAGAUGAUGAGUUUAUGGAGUUGCUGAUUGAAACAUGUAAAGAAGAAAUUGUAUUGUGGGAACAACCUUGGUAUCAACUUUCUUCAUGCCUUACACGUAAAUUACAAGAAACAAAUGAGAAUGCUGAUGAACAGUACAGAACAGAUGCUAUUAGUAAGAAAGAAGAUGAAAAAAUUAAGAAAAACUGGCGAAAAUUUAUUAAGAAAUACAAUUUACCUGACAAGUUUGUAAGCUUUGCUCGAUGGCGUAACAAACAUGGAUGUCGAAAUCCUAAUGCCCAACAAGAGAAGGUGAGACGAUAUGUUGCAGCUUAUUUGGCGCGAGGAUUACAGAGAACUAUUUACCAGGUGUAUAAAUAUGUUAUGACCCACACUGGAGAAAAUGUAAAAAAACAAUACACUCCAGAAGAAGAAAAAAUAAUGAAGGUGUGUUUUUAUCAUAAACCUGAAAAAGCUGUCACAUAUUUAUCUGCAAUAUUAUGCAGAGAACCCAGAGGCAUUUAUAAAAGAUUGGCAUAUAUAAAUAAUGGAAAACCACCAAGAAAACGAAUGAACUGGACUUUGAAUCUGGCCACAAAAUUUCUGACUUCCUUAAUGAAGCAUACAGGAUUGACUGUGGAUGAAUUGAAAUGUAAAAAGUUUGAUUUAUCAGUUUGGUUGAAAAUCCAAGAUGACAUGGAUCACUCACAUGCAUACUUACAAAAGUUUUGGUAUAAAUAUCUACACCCACAACUUUUUAUUAAAUGUGAUAUCAAGUUGAAUAGGCUUAGGAAAAAAAUAUUUAAAUUAUUAAGAUCGUAUCCAUACAAAGUGUGGACAGAUAUUAGAUGGAAAGAAUUGGUAAAUGAUUUUCCAGAAGGAUACACACAUAUGUUUUUGUACACAAUAUGCUCCUCUGCCGUUCGACCAUAUCGAGAUUACCUUACAACACCCUUGGAAGAUAUUAUUGAGUAUGCGCUGGCCAAGACCAAAAAAGCUCGUUACAAAGAGCGACGAUUAAAAACUUUGAAACUUAAUGACCAAGGACAAUUGGAACAAGUUCAGUAUAGCAAGGCGUAAUAUAAAAAGUUAUUUUUUCCAUUAUAUUACAUAUAAGGUGCGUUCGGGCAAGAUCGGAUAACGAAAAAAUACCACGAAAUUAUGGUUAUUUUUAGUUUAAGUUACAUAGGCACCGACGCUGUUUCUUUUUGCCCCACCCUAUAUACUAUAAUUGAUGCAACGACCAAGAACAGGUGCUCUAUGUGCAGUGAAACAAAAUAGGUAGAUUUCGCUCUUAACACUGAUCGAAACUUCUAUUUGAUUUUUUGCACCUUAUCAUACUAGCUUUAGAAGCGUUAUUAGAACGAAGUCUCAACUUACCCAGCGAAAAGUUCUAAGGGUUUUAAAUUUCUAUACAGAUAUCACCUAUUUUUAAGUUUACACGGAGAGAAUUGGAAGCUGAUUAAAUUAUCACAUAAAGUGGCAUUAAUAAUAACCAGUUUCAUGUAUAAAAUGUCGGUAUGGCUUAAAUAUUUUAUGAGAAAAAAAUAUUUUCAAGACUCCUCGCAACUAAUCGAAAUACCGUCCGUAAUUAGCCGAACGCAACUUAGACUUUUCCGUAAAAAGAAAACAAAAUUUUAAUCUUAAGCAGGCAUUUUUUAUUGCUCACAAUAAUUUUUCAUAAGUAUCAAAGUAAAAUAAAUGUAUGUAAUUAUAAUUUUGUUUAUCUCUUCUUUUAAUCAAUAGAACACAUAUAUAAUGUGCAUGCAGCUAAGUUCGGAUAAAGGGUAAGAUCUUGUAAAAACUACGUGGUUGUUUUGGACUUUAUCAUACGAGCUUUAGAAUGUAGUCCGAAUUUGUCCUGUGAACGUCAAAUCUUUCUUUAGGGUUUUAAAUGUCUAUAACGAUUCGGCUAUUUUUAAGCUUAUAUACAAAGAAUUGAAAGAUGCUAAAAUGAUUCAGGUGUGUUCGGGUAAUAUUGGAUACGGGGUAUGAUCGUUGAACGAAAAAAUACCACGAACCUAUCGUUAUUUUUUAAUUUAAGGUACAUAGACGGUUACGCUGUCUCUUUUUGCCCCGCCCUAUAUACCACAGUCGAUGCUACGAUCAAGAACGGGUGCGCUGUGUGCAUUGAAACAAAAAGGUGGAUUUCUCUUUAACAUUUUUGAGACUUCUACUUGAUUUUGUGGACCUUAUCAUACUAGCAUUAGAAGCGUUAUUAGAACGAAGUCCGAACUUACCCCGCGAAGGUCCGAUCUUUUCAACGGGUUUUAAAUUUCUAUACUGAUAUCUGUUUUUAAGCUUGAUGAUUAAAUUAUCACAAUUCAUAAUAACUAGUUUCAUGUAUAAAAUGCCGGUACCGCUUACCUAACUAUUUUAUGAGAAAAAAAAUAUUUUCGAGACUCCUCGCAACACACCGAAAAGCCAUCCGAAAUUAGCCGAACGCAUCUCACAUUUAAUAAUAACCAGUUUGAUUUACAAAAGGUCGGAAACCCAAAUAUUUUAUGAUUUUUAUGUGAAAAAAAAUACCUAAUCUCUUCUCAAUUCGUCGAAAAACCAUCCGGACUUAGUCCUUAACAUUCGCCCCUCCUCCCAGCCUAUGGGGUUUCUUUAUCCUUACCCUACACUUCCUUCCCAGCUAUCUCCUCCCCACUUUUCUCCAGGACUCUGCAGUCCCUAAGACGGGGCAUUUCAGUGUCCCAUUUGCAGGUUUCUCCCGUUGUUGAGACUACGGGGUCCAAUACCAAAAAAAUAUAUAUAUUAAAGAUGGCAACAUAAGCUUCGUACAUUCUUUAUGAAAUAAUUUAUGUAUGCGUCUGAAGGACUGGUAUCCAUGGCCAGGAAUAAAUAAAAAAAAAACAUUCUUUAUGAUCAAGUCAUUACCUACUAUUAUCUUUGUUACCUACAUUAUUUUUUUAUUGAUAAUUCUCUUUGAUAUGUAGUACUUCCUCAGAGUACUUCGUGCGGGAGAAUAUACAUCAAUGUUAUUUUUAAUUAUAUUUCCCAAUGUUUUGCGCUUAGAUUAAUAACUUGUGUUCUACAGUCUUACGUAGUAUAUUACUAGGAAGGAACUCCAUGUUCUGUAGUUUGUACUUUCUACAUUUAGGAAGGUAGAAGUAUGAUUUAGAUUAAUUAAUGUCUGUGUCUACAUGUAAUCCUUGUUUAGUUUGUGAACAGUGAACUCCGAACGUUUCCAUAUACUUAUAUUAUAGUUCUCUUUGACCGAACGCCAAGACCGUAGUGUUAAAAAUUUGCAACGGCAAAUACGAGUUAUUCAUACUUCACAUAAAUUCAUUUAGGCUCUUGUUUUCAUUCAUAUAUUCUAUUGGAAAAUGAAUACAAAAAGAACUAAGAACACACAAAAAAUUCUUCAUGAAAUGUUGGAAAGCGACGAUGAAUUACCAAGUAAGUUUCACCCCAAAAAAUAUUAGUAUAAUUAUUUAUUUAUUUAACACUUUAUAUACAAAUGUAUACAGGCGGACUUAAUGCCAUAGGAAUUCUCUACCAGUCAACCUCUGGUGGUGCCGAGAUAAUCAUGAUACAUACAAGGAAGUUCCUUUUAUUCCUGCUUAUCAAAAUGACAAUCGCUUCAAUGAUAUUGCUAUAUAUAAUUUGACCAAAGGUGACUCCGAAGCAAGUGACGAAUGCUCAAGUGAAAUAUCAUCUUCGCAAGAAACAGAUGAAAUAGAGAGUGUUACACCAGAAAAAAAUGAACAACUUAUUUCAUUUAAGAAAGGUGUCUUAAGUCGCAGGGAUGCAUACUGUAUCAAAGUUUUUGGAACGCAAUAUGAUGAUGAAACAUUAUUAUGGUUUAUAAAUUUUACUCUAUCCAAAGAUAUACAGUCAGAUUAUGACUUUUUGGUUAGCUGCUUAGUUGUUGAUAUAAGUGACUAUAGGGUAGGAGGUGAUAUUUUGAAUAAAUUUGAACACAAAAGGAAAUAUUGUAAUACAAAAUACUCAUUUGAAUAUAAAUAAAAUUGUAACAUAAGUUUUUAUUAUUAUCAUUCAUAAUAUAAUGCUAAUAUCUAUAUAUAUUUCUUUAUCACAUUGUUUUGCCAUAAUAACCAAUUUAAAAUGUAAGAAUUGAUUAAACCAAAAAAAUAUUUAAAUAAGCUAUUGUUUAUUUAAACUUUCUAAAAAGCCUUUAGAACAUCUUACAGAUUGUUGAUAACAUUUUUCAAAUCCCUUGGCAUCACUGUCCUGAAAGAAAAAAGUAUUUACACAAUCACAAUAUGUGAGAACAAUAAUAAUGAUGACUUAUGAACUACCAUUAUUAUAUUAUGCCUAAGUAAAAGUAUAAGCAAAUAGAGUUUUGACGACUAA